rnacentral:rRNA from 1 species
UACAGGGGGGGCAAGCGUUGUUCGGAAUUACUGGGCGUAAAGGGUCUGUAGGUGGCUUGCUAAGUCAGACGUGAAAUCCCUCAGCUUAACUGGGGAACUGCGUCUGAUACUGGCAAGCUUGAGUGCAGGAGAGGAACGCGGAAUUCCAGGUGUAGCGGUGAAAUGCGUAGAUAUCUGGAGGAACACCGGUGGCGAAGGCGGCGUUCUGGACUGUAUCUGACGCUGAGGAACGAAAGCCAGGGGAGCAAACGGG